UGAAUACGAGAUGCUACGGCGUCGAAGCAGUGUAUGUCAGACUUCCAAGAAAAGCUCGCAAUGUCAUAAAUAAAGAAUGCCUGUACCAUAACCGACACAGGUGGGUAGGUAGAGUAUACUAAGGGGCGCGAGAUAACUCUCUCUAAGGAACUCGGCAAAAUAACUCCGUAACUUCGGGAGAAGGAGUGCCUUCUUUAAGAAGGUUGCAAUAACAAGAUCCAAGCAACUGUUUAUCAAAAACACAGGUCUCCGCUAAGUCGUAAGACGAUGUAUGGGGGCUGACGCCUGCCCAGUGCCAGAAGGUUAAAGAAGUUGGUUAGCUUUUGCGAAGCUGAUGACUGAAGCCCUGGUGAACGGCGGCCGUAACGAUAACGGUCCUAAGGUAGCGAAAUUCCUUGUCGGGUAAGUUCCGACCCGCACGAAAGGCGUAAUGAUUUGGAUACUGUCUCGGAGAGGGACUCGGUGAAAUAGACUUGUCUGUGAAGAUGCGGACUACCUGCACCAGGACAGAAAGACCCUAUGAAGCUUUACUGUAACUUGAAAUUGAAAUUGGACUUUAUUUGCGCAGUAUAGGUGGAAGGCGUUGAAAGUAAUCUUGCGGGAUUAGUGGAGCCAUCAGUGAGAUACCACUCCUAUAAUGUUAGAUUUCUAACUUUGGAUCAUGAUCUGGUCAAAGAACAGUUUCAGGCGGGCAGUUUGACUGGGGCGGUCGCCUCCCAAAUGGUAACGGAGGCGUACAAAGGUUUCCUCUGAACGGGUAGAAAUCGUAUCUAGAGUGUAAAGGCAUAAGGAAGCUUGACUGUGAGACCUACAAGUCGAGCAGGGACGAAAGUCGGUCUUAGUGAUCUGACGGUGCUGAGUGGAAAGGCCGUCACUCAACGGAUAAAAGUUACUCUAGGAUAACAGGCUGAUCUCCCCCAAGAGUUCACAUCGACGGGGAGGUUUGGCACCUCGAUGUCGGCUCAUCGCAUCCUGGGGCGGUAGUACGUCCCAAGGGUUGGGCUGUUCGCCCAUGAAAGCGGUACGCGAGCUGGGUUCAGAACGUCGUGAGACAGUUCGGUCCAUAUCCGGUGUAGGCGUUAGAAUAUUGAGAGGAGCCUUCUUUAGUACGAGAGGACCGAGAAGGACAUACCUCUGGUGUACCAGUUAUCGUGCCAACGGUAAACGCUGGGUAGCUAUGUAUGGAGAGGAUAACCGCUGAAAGCAUCUAAGUGGGAAGCCCACCUCAAGAUGAGUAUUCU
rnacentral:rRNA from 1 species